CUGCUAUCGGAUUGAUACUAAGCCAUGCGAGUCAUUGUAGCAAUACAAGGCAGACGGCUCAGUAACGCGUAGUCAACCUAACCUAUGGACGGGAAUAACCUCGGGAAACUGAGAAUAAUGCCCGAUAGAACACUAUACCUGGAAUGGUUUGUGUUCCAAAUGAUUUAUCGCCGUAGGAUGGGACUGCGGCCUAUCAGUUUGUUGGUGAGGUAAUGGCCCACCAAGACUAUUACAGGUACGGGCUCUGAGAGGAGUAGCCCGGAGAUGGGUACUGAGACACGGACCCAGGCCCUAUGGGGCGCAGCAGGCGAGAAAACUUUGCAAUGUGCGAAAGCACGACAAGGUUAAUCCGAGUGAUUUGUGCUAAACGAAUCUUUUGUUAGUCCUAGAAACACUAACGAAUAAGGGGUGGGCAAGUUCUGGUGUCAGCCGCCGCGGUAAAACCAGCACCUCAAGUGGUCAGGAUGAUUAUUGGGCCUAAAGCAUCCGUAGCCGGCUCUGUAAGUUUUCGGUUAAAUCUGUAUGCUCAACAUACAGGCUGCCGGGAAUACUGCAGAGCUAGGGAGUGGGAGAGGUAGACGGUACUCGGUAGGAAGGGGUAAAAUCCUUUGAUCUAUUGAUGACCACCUGUGGCGAAGGCGGUCUACCAGAACACGUCCGACGGUGAGGGAUGAAAGCUGGGGGAGCAAACCGGAUUAGAUACCCGGGUAGUCCCAGCUGUAAACUAUGCAAACUCAGCGAUGCAUUGACUUGUGGUCAAUGCAUUGCUGCAGGG
rnacentral:rRNA from 2 species